rnacentral:lncRNA from 1 species
AAUUAUAAAACCCUACCCUUAAGUUUUCAAGUCCUAAAUCCUUGAGGUAAGAACAGAUCCCUCGCCUCUCAAAAAAAUGAGCCGCACACCAUUGAAGGAAACUCAAUUGAAAACUCAAAAAAUAUAAAAUAAUCACUGAACUUCAAGAGAAAUCGGAAGUCUAAGAUGUUGCUGACAGUGAAUGUACCGAGCCAGAGAUUGAAAGUUGUCAUACAUGAAGAUUGAAUUAAUAGAGAUUAAGGAAUUAGGGGAAUAAUUAGCCUACUGCCAUAGAUAAUUUUGGCAUAUAUUACAAAGGAUCUUGGUUUGGUAUUUAAAAGGAAAAGCAGCGACAAUGUUUCUUCUUUACUUUAUUUUGGACAUUUCUGAUUUUUUCCUCCAUACAUAUACACAUACUUGAGAGUGACGGGGUGACAGAAAAUAAGGUCACAAGAUUCUGAAUACACAUACUCGCAUUUUUUUUGAGGUCUCGAGAUUCUUUUUGGUUUCGAUUUCAAGAUUUCCCAAGAGUCUUGUCGUAUCUUUAGCUGAGGUCGAUUUGGGUUUCGAGCUUUUCGAUGUCGAUUCGAGGUUCUGGUUUAUUAAUUUCGGUGUUUCGGUCCAAGGAUUGUUGCUUGUUUAGCCCGACUGAUUUGUAAUUUUCAGCUUGGUUCAUCAAUAAAAGGUCGAUUUCUCAAUUUUCAUUCUCGUUUCGUUUUGUUAUGAUAGCUUGGUGCGCGUGGUGGUUGAUUUGUUAUUCUAUGUUGUUUGAGUAGCAUGUCUUAGUUUUCCUUUAAAUUGUUUUAACUAGUUUUAUUUCGAUUGCGAUGCAUGUAGUAUUGGGUUCUUGAAUAAAUGCUUUUAAUCGAGUAGAUGAAAAAUUGGAGUUGUUUCUUUCUUGGCAAGGAAUAAGAAUAGGCCAUGAGUGGUGCUAAGUCAGAAGAAUUUAUAACUCUUGGCCUCACAAUAAUCUUAAAUUAGCUUUAGAAAAAUAAUUAUGAACAUCCGUAGCUUGAGUACAAUCCUUUGAAAUUAGAAUCGAGGUGUGCCAUUAUUCAUUUCUCAUGGCCCUCGCAAAGUUGAAGUGCAUAGUUGCUUUAGGCGCGUUAUUUUAAAAAACUAAUUUCCUCAACUCGGGUGCGCAUUUAUGUGACCCAAAUCCCAAUUCCAACAAUUUUAGAUAAAAUAUGUCGUGGACCGUCGGUGCAUUUAUGUGACGUGGUUCAAGACGUGUUUUAGAUGACGUUGAAUUUUUUCCUAAAAAUUAAUUAAAUAAAGCGGUUAAAGUUAAAAUUGAACCAUAGGUUAAAACAUGUAUAAAAAAUCAGAUAAUAGGCCAAUAAUAGCAGUUGAGCGACCGUGCUAAAACCACGGAACUCGGGAAUGCCUAAUACCUUCUCCCGGGUUAACAGAAUUCCUUACUCAGAUUUCUAUGUUCGCGGACUAUAUAGAACAGAGUCAAUCUUUUUCUCGAUUUGGAAUUUGAACUGGUGACUUGGGACACCAUAAAUUAUUUCAAGCGGCGACUCUGAAUCAUUAAAUAAAUAAAUCUCGUUUCGAUUGUCACUUUAAGUUGGAAAAAACUCCCUUAUACCCCUUCCGGGGGUGGUAAGAAGGAAGUGUGACACCCAUCAUUUUCUUUCAUCAAAAAUUACAUUGGAUAUAUAAGGUUAAUUUUUUUCAUGUAUAAUAGUAGGUAUUGAAUCCACUUAGCUUCUUUGCGUGUUUACUUUUUUUAUUUUUUGGAAUCCUCUUGGUGAAAAUCCUACUUCCGGCAUCUACUUAUAUGAUCUUAGGUAAUCCUCAUAUCACAAGUUUAGUUUUUUUCGAUUGAGUUAAUCCUAUGUCCAUUUUAUUUAAUAUGGUAUUAGAGUCAGGCUCAUAUCUAUUUUCAGUUAACCCAAUGUUGGAUCCAUCUACUGUACAUGUUCUAACUCAAUCCCUUGACAUGCAAAAAUGUUAAAAUGUCCAACGUUGAUUGAGAGAAUGAUUUGUUGUCUCCUUAUUUUUGGUCUUUUGAUGAAUCUAGCCUACUAUAUCUAAGGAAUUUCUCCUGUUAUAAAUAACCAAGUUUGAGUUUAACUAAGGCCACUAAGAACAAAUUUGAUGGUUGCUUUUUUCCCCUUACUUUUUAUUGCUCCCUCGUAAGAGAAUUUGUAACUCACUAUUCUUGAGCCGAGGAUCUAUCGAAAACAACUUCUCUAUCCUCAUAAAGUAGGGGUAAGGUCUACGUACACACUACCCUCCUCAGACCUUACUAGUGGGAUUCCACUGUGUUUAUUGAUUUAUCGUCGCUAAUGUUUGCUUUGUUUGCUUUCGCAUGACGCCUUGUUAUUUUCGAUUGAUGUUUGGCUUAAUGUAUGCAUAUUUUGAUAUGUACGGCCUCACAUUAUGCUCAUAACUUAUAGAUUUCGGAUGUAUAAUAUGAUGAUUUGUGCUCAUUUGUGGUAUUUCUAUGUGUAGGAAUUAUUCGGAUGCAAUUUGGAACGAAAUGGCGCGAAUUAGAACGAAAUUGGGAAGAAAAAGCAAAAAAUAAAAUUUGAGGGCCACGGCCAGCGUGGGGUGCUAGCUGUGGCGCAAUUUACACAAGCAAAAUAUUUUGGGCGCCAGGGCCAGCGCCCCAUGCUGCCCUGGACGCUCGGAACGUGAAGUUGUCCUAUUCCGACUAGAACUUGGUUAUUUUGGCCCCAAGACGUCCCCAACUCAUAUAAAAGUUAACCUAAACCUAUUUUGAGAGGGGAGAACGUUUUUGAGAGGAAAACACAAGCAUAGAGCCGCCGUGGAGGCCGGGCUUUAUCUUUUCUUCUACCAAACUUAGUAAUUUUUAUGUUUUUUUGUAUGAUUUAUUGUUUUGCUACCAUAUCUAUGUGGAGUCAAACUUCACGUUCUAGGGUUAUGGUUCUUUCAUGACUAUUGUUAUUCGGAUAUUGAUUUUGCUUUCUUAGUUUAUCAUAUUGGUUUAUUUAUUCAA